CACCUGGGGGUCUGGUUAAAAUGCAGAGUCUGAUAUAAAUAAAAGAGUCUGUAUUUCUAACAAGGUCCCAGGUGGU
rnacentral:miRNA from 1 species